rnacentral:lncRNA from 1 species
AAGGAAGACAGGACAACCUGGAAGUCCAAACUCUUCCUUAAGAGCAUCCAACUUUUAGAUGAUUAACCAAAAUGCCUCAUUGUGGAAGUGACAUUGUGGGUUCCAAAUAGAUACAGAUCCACAUAUACUUCUGAGGGAAGUCUGUGGAGCUGAUGGACAAGAACACUAUAAUGCACAAGACCAUCUGAGGCCAUCCAGAAAACAACUCAGCUCUGGAGAAACUGUUGCCUCAUAUCUGAGGGAAUGUGGGCUUUGUGUUCACCAAGGAGGUCUUCACUGAGAUUAGGGACAUACUGCUGGCCAAUAGGUGCCAGCUGAUAUCUGUGCAGGUGCCAUUGCUCCACCUGAAGUCACUGUACCAGCCCAGAACACUAGUCUGGGUCCCAAGAAGUCAUUUUUCUUCCAGGCUUUAGGCAUCACCACUAAAAUCUCCAGGGUCACUAUUGGAAUCCUCAGUGAUGUACAGCUGAUGAGGACUGGAGACAAAUUGGAAGCCAGUGAAGCCACACUGCUGAACAUGCUGAACACUGCCCAGCUCUUCUCCUUUGGACUGAUCAUCAAGAGAGUGUUUAACAACAGCAGCAUCUCCCACCCUUAAAGUCCUUGCCAUCACAGAGGAAACUGCAUUCUCACUUCCUGGAGGGUGUCCACAAUGUUGCCAGUGUUU